GGCUCAGGAUGAACGCUGGCGGUAUGCUUAACACAUGCAAGUCGAACGAUGUUUUAGGACAUAGUGGCGGACGGGUGAGUAACGCGUAAGAAUCUACCUUCAGGUUUGGGACAACCAUUGGAAACGGUGGCUAAUACCGAAUGUGCCGAGAGGUGAAAGGCUUGCUGCCUGAAGAAGAGCUUGCGUCUGAUUAGCUAGUUGGUGGGGUAAGAGCCUACCAAGGCGACGAUCAGUAGCUGGUCUGAGAGGAUGAUCAGCCACACUGGGACUGAGACACGGCCCAGACUCCUACGGGAGGCAGCAGUGGGGAAUUUUCCGCAAUGGGCGAAAGCCUGACGGAGCAAUACCGCGUGAGGGAGGAAGGCUCUUGGGUUGUAAACCUCUUUUCUCAGGGAAGAAAAAAAUGACGGUACCUGAGGAAUAAGCAUCGGCUAACUCCGUGCCAGCAGCCGCGGUAAUACGGAGGAUGCAAGCGUUAUCCGGAAUGAUUGGGCGUAAAGGGUCCGCAGGUGGUAGUGUAAGUCUGCUGUUAAAGAGUCACGCUCAACGUGAUAAAAGCAGUGGAAACUACACAACUAGAGUACGGUAGGGGCAGAAGGAAUUCCUGGUGUAGCGGUGAAAUGCGUAGAUAUCAGGAAGAACACCGGUGGCGAAAGCGUUCUGCUAGACCUGUACUGACACUGAGGGACGAAAGCUAGGGGAGCGAAUGGGAUUAGAUACCCCAGUAGUCCUAGCCGUAAACGAUGGAUACUAGGUGUGGCUUGUAUCGACCCGAGCCGUACCGUAGCUAACGCGUUAAGUAUCCCGCCUGGGGAGUAC
rnacentral:rRNA from 1 species